UGCCAGCCGCCGCGGUAAUACCGGCAGCCCGAGUGAUGGCCGCUCUUAUUGGGCCUAAAGCUUCCGUAGCUGGCCGAACAAGUCCGUCGGGAAAUCCACGUGCUUAACGCGUGGGCGACCGGCGGAAACUGUCCGGCUUGGGGCCGGAGGACCCGAGGGGUACGUCCGGGGUAGGAGUGAAACCCCGUAAUCCUGGACGGACCGCCGGUGGCGAAAGCGCCUCGGGAAGACGGACCCGACAGUGAGGGACGAAAGCCAGGGUCUCGAACCGGAUUAGAUACCCGAGUAGUCC
rnacentral:rRNA from 1 species